GACAGAGGGGGCAAGCGUUGCUCGGAAUUAGACUGGGCGUAAAGGGCGGCGUAGGCGGGAUGCAAGGUCGGAUCGUGAAAUCCUUCGGCUCAACCGAAGAAACGUCGAUCGAUACUGCUGUUCUUGAGGGUUGCAGAGGAGACUGGAAUUCCUGGAUGUAGCGGUGAAAUGCGCAGAUAUCAGGAGGAACACCAGUGGCGAAGGCGGCUCACUGGUCCGAUUAACUGACGCUGGAGGUGACGAAAGCGUGGGGGAGCAAACAGG
rnacentral:rRNA from 1 species